rnacentral:tRNA from 1 species
UGGGGUGUAACUCAGUGGUAGAGUGUCCGCUUCGCAUGCGGAAAGUCCGGGUUCAAAAUCCCGGCUCCUCCA